rnacentral:rRNA from 1 species
UUAAAUCCUCCGUCUCAAGCGGAGACCUGCUUGUUAGACUGCUUUACUAGAGGGUAUUAGGGAAUGUCGGAACACCUGGUGUAGGGGUGAAAUCCAUUGAGAUCAGGUGGAACACCGAGGGCGAAGGCAGACAUUUGGGAUACUCCUGACGCUAAGGGACGAAAGCUAGGGUCGCGAAAGGGAUUAGAGACCCCUGUAGUCCUAGCUGUAAACGAUGCUCGCUAGCUUGUCUCUUUUAUUAGGGGCGGGCGUAAGCUAACGCGUUAAGCGAGCCGCCUGGGGAGUACGGCCGCAAGGCUGAAACUCAAAGGAAUUGGCGGGGACCUGCACAACCAGUGGAGCAUGUGGUUUAAUUCGAUUUGAAGCGUAGAACCUUACCUAGACUUGACAUACUAGCUGCAAGUUCGCCGAAAGGCGAAUCCUUUCGAAGGUGCUAGAACAGCUGCUGCAUGGCUAUCGUCAGCUCGUGCCGUGGGGUGUUCCCUUAAGUGGGAUAACGAGCGCAACCCCUACCUUGUGUUACAAGUGUCACAAGGAACAGGGUCGAUUAUUUUCGACCAGGAAGGAGGGGACGACGUUAAGUCAGCAUGGCGCUUAUGUCUAGGGCGACACACAUCCUACAAUGGCGAAGAACAAAGGGUUGCCAAACCGCAAGGUGGAGCCAAUCCCUGAAAUUUCGCCUCAGUUCGGAUUGCGGGCUGCAAUUCGCCCGCAUGAAGUUGGAAUUGGUAGUAAUCGGAGGUCAGCAGACUUCGGUGAAUACGUUCUCAGGUCUUGCACACACUGCCCGUCAACUGAGCAAAGUCGGGGGUAGCCGAAACUCCGCAUUAUGCGGGGCUAAGUUGAACUCGGCGAUGAGCAGUAAGUCGUAACAAGGUAGCUGUAGUGGAAGCUGCAGCUG